GCUUCCGUAGCGCAGUGGGUAACGCGACAGUCUUAUGAUCUGCAGAUCGUGAGUUCGAGUCUCAGUGGGAGUU